GCCGCGGGAAUCCCGCCCGGUAGGCCCGAGGCCCCCGACGGGCACAAAAAAGGCAUCCACCGGUCCGGUAUGCGGACCCCAGUAUAAGGGUCGCUAUUUCGGCUCUGAGUGUGUGGCGGUGCGCCAGUUAUAAGGGAUUUUCCAGGCGAUGAGUGAGGAGCUGGGUGAAAUGGCGUCUGCUCCUGUACGCCGGUAGCUCCGCCCCCUCCUGUACGCCAGUAGCUCCGCCCCCAGGAAUGGAGCAUUUUAG